rnacentral:lncRNA from 1 species
GCAUGGGGGAAGGGGAGGGAGGAGUAUGUUUCCUGGCGGAGCGAUAUUUGUUUACAGGAUGAGAUCUGUACUGUAAGUAAAGUAGGACCGAGCAAAGGCAGUUCUGUAAUAAAUUAGUAUUUAAAUUGCACCAUCAACGCCCCCCAAAAAGGGAAAAAUUGUGCCCAGUCCGGCCAGGUCUGUGCUCCCGGAUCCUGCAUGCACUUGUUGCAGAUUUACACCAGAAGCCAGCUCAGGAAGACAUUAGAAAGUUGAUCUCAAUAAUACAACAACAGGUUGGUACACAAGUAAUCAGUAUCUGCGUGACAGUGAUGGCGACAUUGUAGACUAUACACAAGAGGACCACAUGCCCCACCUCCCAAGCUGGAGGUACCUGGCAUAGUGAAUCUAUUGUUUUCGUUUAAGAUUUGUGUUUUGGACUUUUUCAAAGAUGUGAAGCAGCAUUAAUCUGAAAUUGGAAUUGCAAACAGACCAGAAGGAAUUAGUCCUUGUAAUGUAAAUGGACAAGCUGAAUAAUAACGACUUCUAGCAAUUUUUUCCCCGUACUUGGAAUAUCUCAGGGUCUACAAGUUUAUGGUUUUUGUGCCUGUAAGAU